rnacentral:rRNA from 1 species
AGUGAACGCUGGCGGUAGGCCUAACACAUGCAAGUCGAACGGCAGCACACUAAGUGCUUGCUCUUACGGGUGGCGGGUCGCGGACGUGUGAGGAAUACAUCGGGAUCUACUUUUUCGUGGAGGUUAACGUAGCUAAACUUACUCUCAUACCGCAUACGCCCUACGAUGGAAAGCAGUGGAACGUCUCACCUUUCGCGGUUGAAUUAGCCGAUGUCGGAUUAGCUAGUUGGCGGGGUAAAGGCCCACCAAGGCGACGAUCCGUAGCCUGUGUGGGAGGAUGAUAGCCCACACUGGAACUGGGACACGGUCCAGACUACUACGGGAGGCAGCAGUGGGGAAUAUUGGACAAUGGGCGCAAGCCUGAUCCAGCCAGACCGCGUGGGAGAAGAAGGCCUUCGGGUUGUAAAGACCUUUUGUUGGGAAAGAAAAGCAGCAGGUUAAUACCCCGCUGGUCUGACGGUACCCAAAGAAUAAGCACCGGCUAACUUCGUG